rnacentral:pre_miRNA from 1 species
UCUAAUGGAUGAACAAAGAAAGUGGUUUCUUGAGAAGAAAUCUACUCCUAAUGAAGAUCCUGUGAA